UUGAACGCUGGCGGCAUGCCUUACACAUGCAAGUCGAACGGCAGCACGGGAGCAAGUCCUGGUGGCGAGUGGCGAACGGGUGAGUAAUAUAUCGGAACGUGCCCAGUCGUGGGGGAUAACGUAGCGAAAGCUACGCUAAUACCGCAUACGAUCUAUGGAUGAAAGCGGGGGAUCGCAAGACCUCGCGCGAUUGGAGCGGCCGAUAUCAGAUUAGGUAGUUGGUGAGGUAAAGGCUCACCAAGCCGACGAUCUGUAGCUGGUCUGAGAGGACGACCAGCCACACUGGGACUGAGACACGGCCCAGACUCCUACGGGAGGCAGCAGUGGGGAAUUUUGGACAAUGGGCGCAAGCCUGAUCCAGCAAUGCCGCGUGCAGGAUGAAGGCCUUCGGGUUGUAAACUGCUUUUGUACGGAACGAAACGGUGAGCUCUAAUACAGUUUGCUAAUGACGGUACCGUAAGAAUAAGCACCGGCUAACUACGUG
rnacentral:rRNA from 1 species